rnacentral:ncRNA from 2 species
AUAAACUUUCUGGGGUGCCAUAUACGGCUGAGAUUAUACCCAUUGAACCUGAUCUAAGUAAUAUUAGCGUAGGGAAUAUUGGAUAUUUGUAUA